UGAGGAAUAUUGGUCAAUGGGGGCAACCCUGAACCAGCCAAGUCGCGUGAAGGAUGAAGGUCUUAUGGAUUGUAAACUUCUUUUACACGGGAAUAAAGCGGGGGACGUGUCCCUCUUUGCAUGUACCGUGUGAAUAAGGAUCGGCUAACUACGUGCCAGCAGCCGCGGUAAUACGUAGGCAGCAAGCGUUGUUCGGAGUUACUGGGCGUAAAGAGUGCGUAGGCGGUUUUCUAAGUUCGGUGUGAAAUCUCCCGGCUUAACUGGGAGGGUGCGCCGAAGACUGGGAAGCUGGAGUGUGGGAAAGGCAGGCGGAAUUCCUGGUGUAGCGGUGAAAUGCGUAGAUAUCAGGAGGAACACCGGCGGUGUAGACGGCUUGCUAGACCAUAACUGACGCUGAGGCACGAAAGCGUGGGUAGCAAACA
rnacentral:rRNA from 1 species